UCUCUUCCAUGUUCUUGCCUUUUCCCGACCCGGAAGAGAAGUCGCGGAUCCCCGCGCUCGACUCGUUCGUGUAAGGGAGAAGAGACCCAGGGGAGGAAGAGAAUCUUUUUGUUCUUCGCAACAUCCAAUUCGACGGCCGAACUCUUUUCAUCGAUCGGCGGGCCCUGAUUCGAGCCGCAGACUGAUGCGCGAGGUGAGGCGGCGGGAUGAAUCGAAGGAAGGAACUCUGUAGGAAUUUCCAGCGUGGCAGCUGCCAAUAUGGUGACCGCUGCAAAUUUCUCCAUGUUACUCAGCAACAGUCAAAGGCCAAUCCUUUUGGAUUUGGCACUGGUACCCUACAUUUUCCGAAUGCAACUCAGCAACAAAAGCCUAAUCCCUUCGGAUUUGGGGUACAAAGCAAUACACAAUCACAGAACAAUACACAUUUGAAAGCUUCAUCAAAUUUUGGUGCUCAACACCAGAAUCCAGCCAAGCCAUUUGAAAACAAGUGGACAAGAUCAUCUUCUUUGACACCAACAAAUACAAAUUCCUUGCAACAUACUGAGGCUCAACCCCAAGCACCUGCUCACAAGUGCACAGAUCCUGAGUCAUGCAAAAGGCAAAUUGUUGAAGAUUAUAAAAACGAAGCACCUCUUUGGAAGCUUACUUGCUAUGGACACCGCAAGAAUGGUCCUUGUGACAUUGUUGGUGAUAUCAGUUUUGAGGAACUCAGAGCAGCAGCCUAUGAAGAUGCAAGACAAGGAUUAAGCCUUCAGUCAAUUGUUGAGAGAGAGAGGAACUUAUACCUUUCAAAGUUGAAUGAAUUUGAUAAUUUACUCAAAAAUUCAUAUGGAUCACAAAAUCCAAGUUUUCCUCAGAUGAGUCAGUCUCCUAUGUCCAUGAACAAUACAUCAUCUACAAAUGUUCAAAGUAAUGCUGCACCCUCAUUUUCAAGUUUUAGUCAACUUACAACUAAUCUUGGGCUCAACAGCAGGACCAAUCCUCCAGGAACUCCGAAUGGUACUGGUUUUGUACAACCUAGCCUGUUUCAGAACGCCAGCCAAAAUUCUGUCGGUUUUGGUGUGAAGUUUGGGGCUCCAGCUUUGCAGGAGGAUUUGGCCAGCAACCAACCCAACCAUCUGGAAACACUCCAAGUCCAAGCCUCUCCACAUUUAACAUUGGUGUAAAGUCUCCUGGGUCACCAUUUCCACUGACCUCCCAGCAAUUUGGUGGCAUGAACAAUCAACAGCCAAACCUUCUGACUGGGUUUAAUGUUUCUUCAGUUACUGUUGAACAAGCAUCAAUCACGGAUGAGCAACAAGAGGGUAGUCCAGAUGACAGUAUUUGGUUAAAGGAAGAAUGGAAGAUAGGAGAGAUUCCCGAAAGACCACCACCAGAAAGAUUCUGUUGAUGAGCUUCUAUGCCUUCCAAGUUCGAGAUGAGGGUCAAUGGUCUCAGAGAGUGUUCUCUACGCUGAUGUUAAUUAUUUUGGUGCAUUCAAGAACUUGCAAGCUUCGUCCUCACUCUAACCCGCAUCUGAUCUGCUUCCGAAUCCUCCCACCAAGUGGUGAUUUCUCUCCCUAAGAUUCUGGGAAAGGGUUUAAUGUCUGCUGUGAGACCAUCCUGGCACAUGGAGGUUUUAGUUGAGAUCUUCAAAGAAGUACACGCUCCAGAUGCACCUUGAUCAGAUUUCAAGGAAACAAAUGGUAUGCUGAAGCAGAAUGUGAUGCAUCAAUUCCCGGUUAUUUGUAAUACUCUAUUCUUUACUGCAUCAUGAGUUGGCGAUUUUGCUGCUGUUUCAUAUAAGAAAUCAUAUCGUUUUAGAUCAGAAAGUUGUUCUCAGCAA